AUGCCCACCACCAUGUCCAGGACCCCCUCCACACCCACCAGCACAUCCAGGACCACCAGCACCCCCACUCCCACCACCAGCUCCACUAUGACUUCUGUUAUGGCCACCAGCACCUCUGGAACUUCCACAGCCACCAGCAACUCAAUGGCGACCAACCCAACGAGCACCUCUGAGUCCUCCACACCCACCAGCACCUCCACAACCACCAUCACCACCAGAACCUCUGAGUCCUCCACACCCACCAGCACCUCUGAGUCUUCCACACCCACCAGCACCUCCACAACCACCAUGACCACCAGCACCUCUGAGUCCUCCACACCCACCACCACCUCUGAGUCUUCAACACCCACCACCACCUCCACAACCACCAUGACCACCAGCACCUCUGAGUCCUCCACACCCACCAGCCCCACCACAACCACCAUGACCAGCAGGACCUCUGAGUCUUCCACACCCACCAGCACCUCUGAGUCUUCCACACCCACCAGCACCUCUGAGUCUUCCACACCCACCAGCACCUCUGAGUCUUCCACUCCCACCAGCACCUCUGAGUCUUCCACUCCCACCAGCACCUCUGAGUCUUCCACUCCCACCAGCACCUCUGAGUCCUCCACUCCCACCAGCACCUCUGAGUCCUCCACUCCCACCAGCACCUCUGAGUCCUCCACUCCCACCAGCACCUCCACAACCACCAUGACCCCCAGCACCUCUGAGUCCUCCACACCCACCAGCACCUCCACAACCACCAUGACCACCAGCACCUCUGAGUCCUCCACACCCACCAGCACCUCCACAACCACCAUGACCACCAGCACCUCUGAGUCCUCCACACCCACCAGCACCUCCACAACCACCAUGACCACCAGCACCUCUGAGUCCUCCACACCCACCAGCACCUCCACAACCACCAUGACCACCAGCACCUCUGAGUCCUCCACACCCACCAGCACCUCCACAACCACCAUGACCACCAGCACCUCUGAGUCCUCCACACCCACCAGCACCUCCACAACCACCAUGACCACCAGCACCUCUGAGUCCUCCACACCCACCAGCACCUCCACAACCACCAUGACCACCAGCACCUCUGAGUCCUCCACACCCACCAGCACCUCCACAACCACCAUGACCACCAGCACCUCUGAGUCCUCCACACCCACCAGCACCUCCACAACCACCAUGACCACCAGCACCUCUGAGUCCUCCACACCCACCAGCACCUCCACAACCACCAUGACCACCAGCACCUCUGAGUCCUCCACACCCACCAGCACCUCCACAACCACCAUGACCACCAGCACCUCUGAGUCCUCCACACCCACCAGCACCUCCACAACCACCAUGACCACCAGCACCUCUGAGUCCUCCACACCCACCAGCACCUCCACAACCACCAUGACCACCAGCACCUCUGAGUCCUCCACACCCACCAGCACCUCCACAACCACCAUGACCACCAGCACCUCUGAGUCCUCCACACCCACCAGCACCUCCACAACCACCAUGACCACCAGCACCUCUGAGUCCUCCACACCCACCAGCACCUCCACAACCACCAUGACCACCAGCACCUCUGAGUCCUCCACACCCACCAGCACCUCCACAACCACCAUGACCACCAGCACCUCUGAGUCCUCCACACCCACCAGCACCUCCACAACCACCAUGACCACCAGCACCUCUGAGUCCUCCACACCCACCAGCACCUCCACAACCACCAUGACCACCAGCACCUCUGAGUCCUCCACACCCACCAGCACCUCCACAACCACCAUGACCACCAGCACCUCUGAGUCCUCCACACCCACCAGCACCUCCACAACCACCAUGACCACCAGCACCUCUGAGUCCUCCACACCCACCAGCACCUCCACAACCACCAUGACCACCAGCACCUCUGAGUCCUCCACACCCACCAGCACCUCCACAACCACCAUGACCACCAGCACCUCUGAGUCCUCCACACCCACCAGCACCUCCACAACCACCAUGACCACCAGCACCUCUGAGUCCUCCACACCCACCAGCACCUCCACAACCACCAUGACCACCAGCACCUCUGAGUCCUCCACACCCACCAGCACCUCCACAACCACCAUGACCACCAGCACCUCUGAGUCCUCCACACCCACCAGCACCUCCACAACCACCAUGACCACCAGCACCUCUGAGUCCUCCACACCCACCAGCACCUCCACAACCACCAUGACCACCAGCACCUCUGAGUCCUCCACACCCACCAGCACCUCCACAACCACCAUGACCACCAGCACCUCUGAGUCCUCCACACCCACCAGCACCUCCACAACCACCAUGACCACCAGCACCUCUGAGUCCUCCACACCCACCAGCACCUCCACAACCACCAUGACCACCAGCACCUCUGAGUCCUCCACACCCACCAGCACCUCCACAACCACCAUGACCACCAGCACCUCUGAGUCCUCCACACCCACCAGCACCUCCACAACCACCAUGACCACCAGCACCUCUGAGUCCUCCACACCCACCAGCACCUCCACAACCACCAUGACCACCAGCACCUCUGAGUCCUCCACACCCACCAGCACCUCCACAACCACCAUGACCACCAGCACCUCUGAGUCCUCCACACCCACCAGCACCUCCACAACCACCAUGACCACCAGCACCUCUGAGUCCUCCACACCCACCAGCACCUCCACAACCACCAUGACCACCAGCACCUCUGAGUCCUCCACACCCACCAGCACCUCCACAACCACCAUGACCACCAGCACCUCUGAGUCCUCCACACCCACCAGCACCUCCACAACCACCAUGACCACCAGCACCUCUGAGUCCUCCACACCCACCAGCACCUCCACAACCACCAUGACCACCAGCACCUCUGAGUCCUCCACACCCACCAGCACCUCCACAACCACCAUGACCACCAGCACCUCUGAGUCCUCCACACCCACCAGCACCUCCACAACCACCAUGACCACCAGCACCUCUGAGUCCUCCACACCCACCAGCACCUCCACAACCACCAUGACCACCAGCACCUCUGAGUCCUCCACACCCACCAGCACCUCCACAACCACCAUGACCACCAGCACCUCUGAGUCCUCCACACCCACCAGCACCUCCACAACCACCAUGACCACCAGCACCUCUGAGUCCUCCACACCCACCAGCACCUCCACAACCACCAUGACCACCAGCACCUCUGAGUCCUCCACACCCACCAGCACCUCCACAACCACCAUGACCACCAGCACCUCUGAGUCCUCCACACCCACCAGCACCUCCACAACCACCAUGACCACCAGCACCUCUGAGUCCUCCACACCCACCAGCACCUCCACAACCACCAUGACCACCAGCACCUCUGAGUCCUCCACACCCACCAGCACCUCCACAACCACCAUGACCACCAGCACCUCUGAGUCCUCCACACCCACCAGCACCUCCACAACCACCAUGACCACCAGCACCUCUGAGUCCUCCACACCCACCAGCACCUCCACAACCACCAUGACCACCAGCACCUCUGAGUCCUCCACACCCACCAGCACCUCCACAACCACCAUGACCACCAGCACCUCUGAGUCCUCCACACCCACCAGCACCUCCACAACCACCAUCCCCACCAGCACCUCUGAGUCCUCCACAACCACCAGCACCUUGGGGUCCUCCACACCCACUGAAACCUCUACCACCACCAUGACCACCAGCACAUCCGAGUCCUCCAAACCCACCGAAACUUCCACAAGCACCAUGACCACCAGUACCUCUGAGUCCUCCACACCCUCCGGCAACUUUGAGGCCUCCAAACCUACUGGCACCUCCACAACCACCAUGACCACCAGCACCUCUGAAUUCUCUACACCCACCAGGACCUCCACAACCAUCAUGACCACCAGCACGUCUGAGUUCUCCACACCCACCAGCACCUCUGAGUCUUCCACACCCACCAGCACCUCCACAACCACCAUCCCCACCAGCAUCUCUGAGUCCUCCACAACCACUGGCACCUUGGGGUCCUCUACAACCACUGAAACCUCUACCACCACCAUGACCACCAGAACCUCUGAGUCCUCCACACCCACGGGCACCUCCACAACCACCAUGACCACCAGCACCUCUGAGUCAUCCACACCCACCGAAACCUCCACAACCACCAUCACCACCAGCACCUCUGAGUCCUCCACACCCACCGGCACCUCUGAGUCCUCCACACCCACUGAAAUCUCCACAACCACCAUGACCACCAGCACCUCCGAGCCCUCCACACCCACCAGGACCUCCACAACCACCAUGACCACCAGCACCUCUGAGUCCUCCACACUUACUGGCACCUCCAUAACUGCCAUCACGACCAGCAGCUCUGAUUCCUCCACACUCACCAGCAUCUCUGAGCCCUCCACACCCACCAGCACCUCUGAGUCCUCCACACCCACCAGCACCUCUGAGUCCUCCACACCCACUGAAACCUCCACAACCACCAUGCCCACCAGCACCUCCGAGCCCUCCACACCCACUGGGACCUCCACAACCACCAUGCCCACCAGCACCUCCGAGCCCUCCACACCCACUGGGACCUCCACAACCACCAUGCCCACCAGCACCUCCGAGCCCUCCACACCCACUGGGACCUCCACAACCACCAUGCCCACCAGCACCUCCGAGCCCUCCACACCCACUGGGACCUCCACAACCACCAUGCCCACCAGCACCUCCGAGCCCUCCACACCCACUGGGACCUCCACAACCACCAUGCCCACCAGCACCUCCGAGCCCUCCACACCCACUGGGACCUCCACAACCACCAUGCCCACCAGCACCUCCGAGCCCUCCACACCCACUGGGACCUCCACAACCACCAUGCCCACCAGCACCUCCGAGCCCUCCACACCCACUGGGACCUCCACAACCACCAUGCCCACCAGCACCUCCGAGCCCUCCACACCCACUGGGACCUCCACAACCACCAUGCCCACCAGCACCUCCGAGCCCUCCACACCCACUGGGACCUCCACAACCACCAUGCCCACCAGCACCUCCGAGCCCUCCACACCCACUGGGACCUCCACAACCACCAUGCCCACCAGCACCUCCGAGCCCUCCACACCCACUGGGACCUCCACAACCACCAUGCCCACCAGCACCUCCGAGCCCUCCACACCCACUGGGACCUCCACAACCACCAUGCCCACCAGCACCUCUGAGUCCUCCACACUUACUGGCACCUCCAUAACUGCCAUCACGACCAGCAGCUCUGAUUCCUCCACACUCACCAGCAUCUCUGAGCCCUCCACACCCAACAGCACCUCUUAG
rnacentral:lncRNA from 1 species